ACAUACUGAAAAUGACCCCUGGUGUACCAGUGAUCUGGGGUCAGAUUAACUGUGCCUACAGUACUGUGGUGCGUUAAGCUUAUUGCAAGCGUCUUUUGGUGGCUGCGCGAUAAAACCCAUGUACCAACAUAC